rnacentral:snRNA from 1 species
AUACUUCCCUGGCAGGGGAGUUACCAUGAUCAUGAAGGUGGUUUUCCAAGGUCAAGGCUUAUCCAUUGCACUCUGGAUGUGCUGACCCCUGCGAUUUCCUCAAAUGUGGGAAAUUUGACUACAUAAUUUGUGGUAGUGGGGGACUACAUUUGUGCUCUCCCUUG